rnacentral:rRNA from 1 species
GGUCUUCUGAUUGUAAAGUUCUUUUAUUUAGGAAAAAAAGCUUGAGAGGAAAUGAUUAAGCCUUGAUAGUACUAAAUGAAU